rnacentral:tRNA from 1 species
UAGUAAUUAGUUUAAACCAAAACAAAUGAUUUCGACUCAUUAGAUUGUGAUUUACUUCAUAAUUACUAA